AUAACAACUCUCAACAUUCCGUUGAGAUGUGUAAUGAGGAUAAUUUACAAACCUUACCGAAAGCAAUUGGAGGGCAAGUCUGGUGCCAGCGGCCGCGGUAAUA
rnacentral:rRNA from 1 species